rnacentral:rRNA from 1 species
UCAGAAUGUGAUUUCCCUGAACACCGAUUUUGUCUGAUCUCAGAAGCUAAGCAAGGUAGGGCCGGUUAGUACUUGAAUGGGAGACCACCUAGGAAGACCAGGUGCUAUAGGUG